UUAGAUUAUCUUCUUGAAGAUUAUUUUUUGUUUGUUUAUAUAUUUAUAUAGAAAUUAUUAAUUGUCGAUAGUUUAAAAGGUUUUGGUUUAUUAUACAUAAUAGUAUAUGAUUAGGAUUCUAAUAUAAGAAGUGGAGUUAAUUUUUUUUACCUUUUGUAUCAGGGUUUAAAUAAAAUGUCAAAUAAAUUUUAUAUCUCGAAAGUUUUUGGUUUAAACUUUUGUGGAUGGUUAUGUAUAAUAAUAUAUUAAACAUAAGUUUAGGAAUUAAAGGUUAAACAUAAAAAUUUUUUUCUAGUUUAUAUGAAAAUUAAUUGAAUUAACUAAGUUAGGGGGAUUUAGUAUCAAUUUAAUUUUAAAAUAAUUAAUAGAUAAAUUUAUUUAGAAAUAUAUAAAGAGUUUAGUUUUUAUAAUAUUUAAAUUAUUUAAGAUUGAAAUUUUAUUUAUUAUUAAAAUUGUUUAUAUGUUUUAUUUUUUAUAAAUAUGAAUUUAAUUUUAAUAUUUAAUUUUAUAAUUAAAUAAAUUACAUAUAUAAUUAAUAUAAUUUAUUAUUUUGAGAGUUUAUUUUAGAAUAAGUAAAGAUUAAUAUAGUAUUAGUUUACGAAUUCGGCAAAAUAAGACUACGCCUGUUUAACAAAAACAUGUCUAUGAGGUUUAUUUUUUAGUCUGUUCUGCUCACUGUUUAUAUAAAGAGCCGCAGUAUAUUGACUGUGUGAAGGUAGCAUAAUCAUUAGCUUUUUAAAUGGAAGCUUGUAUGAAAGAGUGGAUGAUAGUUUUUCUUUUUUAUUAUUUGAUUUAAUUUAAAUUUAAGUAAUAAUUCUUAAAUGAAUUUAAGGGACGAGAAGACCCUUUAGAUUUUUACUUCUUAUUGUUUGUCUUUAAAUAAGAUGUUUAAUUGGGGUGAUUUUUUGAAAUUAACAACUUAAUUCUUGUUAACCAGCAAUAAAUGAAUAUAUUUGAUGAAGAAUUUGUUAUAUAAGAUUAAAAUACCUAAGGGAUAACAGCGUUAUUUUAUUUAAGAGUUCAUAUUUAUAGUAAAGAUUGCGACCUCGAUGUUGAAUUAAGAAGUUUAUUGGUGCAGGAGUUGAUGAUUAAUUAGUCUGUUCGACUAUUAAAUUCUUACAUGAUUUGAGUUCAGACCGGCGUAAGCCAGGUCAGAUUUUAUCUUUAAAAUAUUUGGUUAGAUAAGUACGAAAGGAUAGUUUAUACAUAAAUCUUAUACUGCUAGU
rnacentral:rRNA from 1 species